rnacentral:rRNA from 1 species
GGACCAAAGGUGGCCUCUACAUGUAAGCUAUCGCGUUGGGAUGGGCCCAGUUAGGAUUAGCUAGUUGGUAAGGUAAUGGCUUACCAAGGCAACGAUCCUUAGCUGGUUUGAGAGGAUGAUCAGCCACACUGGGACUGAGACACGGCCCAGACUCCUACGGGAGGCAGCAGUGGGGAAUAUUGCACAAUGGGGGAGACCCUGAUGCAGCCAUGCCGCGUGUGUGAAGAAGGCCUUCGGGUUGUAAAGCACUUUCAGCAGUGAGGAAGGUCGUGUACUUAAUACGUGCACGGCUUGACGUUAGCUGCAGAAGAAGCACCGCUAACUCCGUGCCAGCAGCCGCGGUAAUACGGAGGGUGCGAGCGUAAUCGGAAUUACUGGGCGUAAAGCGCAUGCAGGCGGUUUGUUAAGUCAGAUGUGAAAGCCCGGGGCUCAACCUCGGAACCGCAUUGAAACUGGCAGGCUAGAGUCUUGUAGAGGGGGGUAGAAUUUCAGGUGUAGCGGUGAAAUGCGUAGAGAUCUGAAGGAAUACCAGUGGCGAAGGCGGCCCCCUGGACAAAGACUGACGCUCAGAUGCGAAAGCGUGGGUAGCAAACAGGAUUAGAUACCCUGGUAGUCCACGCCGUAAACGCUGUCUACUUGGAGGUUGAGGUUUUAGACUUUGGCUUUCGGCGCUAACGCAUUAAGUAGACCGCCUGGGGAGUACGGCCGCAAGGUUAAAACUCAAAUGAAUUGACGGGGGCCCGCACAAGCGGUGGAGCAUGUGGUUUAAUUCGAUGCAACGCGAAGAACCUUACCUACUCUUGACAUCCAGCGAAGCCUUUAGAGAUAGAGGCGUGCCUUCGGGAGCGCUGAGACAGGUGCUGCAUGGCUGUCGUCAGCUCGUGUUGUGAAAUGUUGGGUUAAGUCCCGCAACGAGCGCAACCCUUAUCCUUGUUUGCCAGCA